AUAAAACCAUAAUUCAUGUCUGAUGUUAAAGAUUAAGUUAAAAAAGGGUGAAAUAAUUUUUCAAAUUUUCAAAUUUUAGAUCAAAUUGCCCUUAAAAAUCAGACGUAGAACAUAUAUGUAUCAGCUAUUCCAAAACCAUUUUACAGUUUUUAAAGGAACUUUCAGAACAGAACAUUUAAGAUACCAAUUUCGUAAUGCAAGGUUUAUCAGUAUAAUUUUGGGAAUUUCCCAAAGUAAAGGGUGUUAGUCGGAGAAAGAUCUCCAACCCUUCCGGGAUACAUUAUUCUGACUCAGAGUCAACUAGACUUUGCUCUUACUUUUAAAUACUACUUGCUUAAGGGAGAAGCAGCAAAUAUCCCUUUUAAAUAAAGUCUUUAGUUUGUCCAUACAUGGGAUAGAGCCCUUUACCUCCAACAUAUCAGGCAAGCAUAGGACCAUUGAGGAG
rnacentral:lncRNA from 1 species